GACGAACGUUGGCGGCGUGCUUAAUACAUGCAAGUCAACUGAAGCAGUGGUAGCAAUAUCGCUGUGGAGGUGGCGCACGGGUGAGUAACACGUAGGUAAUCUGCCUUCAGGUCUGGCAUAACUCCGGGAAACCGGGGCUAAUAGCAGAUGAUGCAGCGGCUCGACAUCGAGACAGUUGCUAAAGCUAUGGCGCCUGAAGAUGAGCCUGCGUCUGAUUAGCUAGUUGGCGGGGUAACGGCCCACCAAGGCAACGAUCAGUAGCUGGUCUGAGAGGAUGAUCAGCCACACUGGAACUGAGACACGGUCCAGACUCCUACGGGAGGCAGCAGUAAGGAAUAUUGCUCAAUGGGAGAAAUCCUGAAGCAGCAACGCCGCGUGAGGGACGAAGGGCUUUGGCUUGUAAACCUCUGUAGUGAGAGAAAAAAAUCCCAAUCUUUGGGACAUGAUGGUAUCUCAAAAGUAAGCCCCGGCUAACUACGUG
rnacentral:rRNA from 1 species